rnacentral:rRNA from 1 species
UACGUAGGCAGCGAGCGUUGUUCGGAGUUACUGGGCGUAAAGAGUGCGUAGGCGGUGCUCUAAGUUUGGUGUGAAAUCUCCCGGCUCAACUGGGAGGGUGCGCCGAAAACUGGAGUGCUCGAGUAUGGGAGAGGUAAGCGGAAUUCCUGGUGUAGCGGUGAAAUGCGUAGAUAUCAGGAGGAACACCUGCGGGGUAGACGGCUUACUGGACCAUGACUGACGCUGAGGCACGAAAGCGUGGGGAGCAAACAGG